UCAUCUCAAGACGUUCCAAAUCCUGACGCAUCCAUUUGUAACUUUUAUUCCUCAAAAAUCACUGUCAGUUAUUGGGAUGAAAAUUGAACAUACGGGGAAACUGUCAGCCGAUCGGUUGACAAUAUGGGAUGUCAUCAGCCAAAGGUUGUCCUGCUCCUUUGAAUUGUUGUCUAUACUAGCUUUUAAUCCGUUUAUUACAGAGCAGCGGGGCAUGUGAACGGCAUUCACCACCGUGUUGAUGGAGCGGACCAGGGAGGAGAUCCAGUGACCUUGACAACGAGGACAGACGAUGCUCAUACAAUGUCUCGAUGACGGAGGUCCUGGAAAGGUUUGAUGAUUUGCUGCUGCUCGAAUUGACAAAUCAUUGCAUCCAGAGGCUGGAAGAGGCGAUUCAAGAGGUGGUGGUAGAAUGUCAUUUUCGUUCUAGCAUACGAGAGAUAUUUCAGUGACCAAGAGUACAAGCAAAUCAUCAAAGGCACAAAUAAAGGAUAACGUGCGGCCAGUUCCAGACUUCUCCUCAAACUGGUGACAGAGAAAGAGCCACGGGUCCGAAAACUGAUAUGAAAACGCUUUGUGAAAAUGCACAACGUGCUCUCCAAAUGAGAGGAAUUGCUGAAAGCAAUGGGGGAAGAUGGUACAGGACAUGCAUGGUUCGAUAUGGAAUCUGUUCUUAUCAUCAAAACACAACCCACACUCAUUCCAUGAACUGAUUCCAACAAUUUGUGAUCUUAUCGAAUCGUUCAAAGCCAUGCAGGCUUCCUUGGAACUAGCUGCUGAACUGAAAGUUGUUCAGCAGAUGCACAGGGAGACACUGAAGGCACAGACGGAAACAUUGAGAGUGAACAUGUUCCUGAUGACGGAGAAGGUUAAGGCGUUCCCACUGGUUGAUCGAUACGCUGAGCUCACGAUCAUCUUCACUGUUCGAGAUCGGGAACUAGUGGAACAUGAGUUGUUGGCAAGAGGCCGGGACCAUGAAGAGUGGAGAGAGAAACUUCUCGGGGGAGAGUUGAAAAAAUCCGAACUGAUCAGUUAUUCCAGAGCUUU